rnacentral:rRNA from 1 species
UACGUAGGGGGCAAGCGUUGUCCGGAAUCAUUGGGCGUAAAGAGCGUGUAGGCGGUUCGAUAAGUCUGCUGUGAAAGUCCAGGGCUCAACCCUGGGAUGCCGGUGGAUACUGUCGGGCUAGAGUACGGAAGAGGCGGGUGGAAUUCCCGGUGUAGCGGUGAAAUGCGCAGAUAUCGGGAGGAACACCUAUUGCGAAGGCAGCUCGCUGGGACGUCACUGACGCUGAGACGCGAAAGCGUGGGGAGCAAACAGG